GACGGAGGAUGCAAGCGUUAUCCGGAAUGAUUGGGCGUAAGCGUCCGCAGGUGGCAGUUCAAGUCUGCUGUCAAAGACCGGGGCUUAACUUCGGAAAGGCAGUGGAAACUGAACAGCUAGAGUAUGGUAGGGGCAGAGGAAUUCCUGGUGUAGCGGUGAAAUGCGUAGAGUAUCAGGAGGAACAUCGGAUGGCGAAGGCAGGCCCUUGG
rnacentral:rRNA from 1 species